AGCGAACGCUGGCGGCAGGCUUAACACAUGCAAGUCGAGCGGGCGUAGCAAUACGUCAGCGGCAGACGGGUGAGUAACGCGUGGGAACGUACCUUUUGGUUCGGAACAACCCAGGGAAACUUGGGCUAAUACCGGGAUAAGCCCUUACGGGGAAAGAUUUAUCGCCGAAAGAUCGGCCCGCGUCUGAUUAGCUAGUUGGUGAGGUAACGGCUCACCAAGGCGACGAUCAGUAGCUGGUCUGAGAGGAUGAUCAGCCACAUUGGGACUGAGACACGGCCCAAAACUCCUACGGGAGGCAGCAGUGGGGAAUAUUGGACAAUGGGCGCAAGCCC
rnacentral:rRNA from 1 species